UACGUAGGUGGCAAGCGUUGUCCGGAAUUAUUGGGCGUAAAGCGCGCGCAGGCGGUCGUUUAAGUCGAAUGUGAAAGCCCCCGGCUUAACUGGGAGGGUGCGCCGAAAACUGGAAAGCUGGAGUGUGGGAGAGGUAAGCGGAAUUCCUGGUGUAGCGGUGAAAUGCGUAGAUAUCAGGAGGAACACCUGCGGUGUAGACGGCUUACUGGACCAUAACUGACGCUGAGGCACGAAAGCGUGGGUAGCAAACAGG
rnacentral:rRNA from 1 species